CCGUCCGUCCGUCUGUUCUUACGAGAGGUACAUUGUGGGGUAAAAUUAACGUAUUUUCCAGCAGUGUGGGGUUUUUUGGGUACUGUGGGGUUAACCCCAUAAUGAAGAGGUCUAAUUACGUUCAAAAUUACUCUAUGAGGUCGAAAAACCUAAAAUUAGAUUUAACCUCACAAAGACUUUGUCCAAAUUUUGGACAUGUCCUUAGCCCAAAACGCUCAGACAUUCAGAAAUCUGCUGUUUAGAGGAGUUCGGUAAUUGAAUCGAGGAGUUCCGAAUACCUGAGCAUGCGCAUAUAUUUAAAACUAACUGCGCAUGCGCAGAAUACGGAAGUAGCUGUGUUUGGAUUAGCAGUGAGGAAAUUCGGAAACACAAAAAGCAAAUGCAAGUUCAGAUACUGAAAGUGAACAUAAGUGGAACUUUGAUGAUCUAGGCCGCUCUAUUUUUGCAGCAACACCAGCAGGCGUCGGACAUUCAUAAAGUUGAAAGAACAAACCUAUGACUUGAACACACAAUUUGUGAUCUGAAUAUAGUUCACAAAUUUAAGGAAAGCAACUAUCAAAGACAUUCAGAUUGAUGGUAUACAUGAAGUAUGAAUGAAAGACUUUUCAGAAGAACAAGCACAAUCCGGAUUCAUUCUUGCCAUUGUCUUCUCCAGACGGCGACAUUUAGGACCUGACUUACUUUUCAGAAAAAGAAGAUGAAUCGAUUUUUGAUAGUUGAUCUUAAAAAGAUAACAUUUUCA